rnacentral:misc_RNA from 1 species
CCGAGUUUACAACUCCCAGACCCAAUGUGAACGUUACCAAACUGUUGCCUCGGCGGGAUCUCUGCCCCGGGUGCGUCGCAGCCCCGGACCAAGGCGCCCGCCGGAGGACCAACCAAAACUCUUAUUGUAUACCCCCUCGCGGGUUUUUUUAUAAUCUGAGCCUUCUCGGCGCCUCUCGUAGGCGUUUCGAAAAUGAAUCA